rnacentral:tRNA from 2 species
GGGCCCGUAGCUCAGCUGGGAGAGCGCUACACUGGCAGUGUAGAGGUCGACGGUUCGAUCCCGUUCGGGUCCA